rnacentral:misc_RNA from 1 species
CUGGCAGGAGAAGAGACAGGAGAUUUGGCAGGUGAUGCAGAGGGCUGUGUUGUUUUAGAUGGCGAAGGGGCAGGCGCAUUGUCUGCAUGUACAAUAAAAGAAAAAGUAAAAGCAAGGAAAAUGAGUAGAAAGAGUCUCUGCAACAUAUUGAGUGGGCGUUUAUGGAAUCGGCAACAAUUGAUAAAUGGAAAGCGGGAAGUGUUUUGGCUUUUGCUGGAGUAGUGGAGAUGAAGGGUUCAAAGAGAUCGGAAGGGGGGAUAUAUAGAGCGGAGAGACAAACGUGGUGGUUCUGGUCGCUGGUGAAGG